AGAGUUUGAUCAUGGCUCAGGAUAAACGCUGGCGGCGUGCCUAACACAUGCAAGUCGAACGCCCGGUCUGUCUUCGGAGAGGCCGGGAGUGGCGGACGGGUGAGUAACACAUGGGUACCUGCCCCCGAGUGAGGAAUACCGGCGAGAAAUCGCCGACAAGACCGCAUAGGCUUGUGGGUCUGGAGACCGGCAAGCAAAGCUCGCAAGGGCGCUCGGGGAGGGGCCUGUGUCCGAUUAGCUAGCUGGUGAGGUAACAGCUCACCAGGGCGACGAUCGGUAGCUGGUCUGAGAGGAUGAUCAGCCACACUGGGAUUGAGAACGGCCCAGACUCCUACGGGGGGCAGCAGUGAGGAAUUUUCGGCAAUGGGGGCAACCCUGACCGAGCAACGCCGCGUGCAGGAGGACGGCCUUCGGGUUGUAAACUGCUUUUCUGGGGGACGAGGAAGGACGGUACCCCAGGAAGAAGCCCCGGCUAACUACGUGCCAGCAGCCGCGGUAAUACGUAGGGGGCGAGCGUUGUCCGGAGUUACUGGGCGUAAAGCGCGCGUAGGCGGUGCAGUGCGUUUCUGGUGACAGUGAAGGGCUUACCCCUUCAAGGCUCAGAAAAACGGCUGGACUGGAGGGCCAGAGAGGGACACGGAAUUCCGGGUGGAGCGGUGAAAUGCGUAGAGAUCCGGAGGAACACCAAAGGCGAAGGCAGUGUCCUGGCUGGCGCCUGACGCUGAGGCGCGAAAGCUAGGGGAGCGAACGGGAUUAGAUACCCUAGUAGUCC
rnacentral:rRNA from 1 species